GACGAACGCUGGCGGCGUGCUUAACACAUGCAAGUCGAACGGAAAGGCCCUGCUUUUGUGGGGUGCUCGAGUGGCGAACGGGUGAGUAACACGUGAGUAACCUGCCCUUGACUUUGGGAUAACUUCAGGAAACUGGGGCUAAUACCGGAUAGGAGCUCCUGCUGCAUGGUGGGGGUUGGAAAGUUUCGGCGGUUGGGGAUGGACUCGCGGCUUAUCAGCUUGUUGGUGGGGUAGUGGCUUACCAAGGCUUUGACGGGUAGCCGGCCUGAGAGGGUGACCGGCGACAUUGGGACUGAGAUAGGGCGCAGACUCCUACGGGAGGCAGCAGUGGGGAAUAUUGCACAAUGGGCGGAAGCCUGAUGCAGCAACGCCGCGUGCGGGAUGACGGCCUUCGGGUUGUAAACCGCUUUCGCCUGUGACGAAGCGUGAGUGACGGUAAUGGGUAAAGAAGCACCGGCUAACUACGUG
rnacentral:rRNA from 1 species